rnacentral:rRNA from 1 species
UACGGGGGGGGCAAGCGUUGUUCGGAAUUACUGGGCGUAAAGCGUGCGCAGGCGGUUUGCUAAGACAGGUGUGAAAUCCCCGGGCUUAACCUGGGAACUGCGCUUGUAACUGGCAAGCUUGAGUGUGGCAGAGGGGGGUGGAAUUCCACGUGUAGCAGUGAAAUGCGUAGAGAUGUGGAGGAACACCGAUGGCGAAGGCAGCCCCCUGGGCUAACACUGACGCUCAUGCACGAAAGCGUGGGGAGCAAACAGG